GCCUUCCUGGUGUAGUGGUCAGCACGCUCGACGCGUAACCGAGAGGUCCGUGGUUCGAUUCUCGGCGAAGGCG
rnacentral:tRNA from 1 species